rnacentral:tRNA from 1 species
UGAUGUGGCUUAGCCGGUAAAGCACCACCUUGGUAAGGUGGAGACCACGGGUUCGAGUCCCGUCAUCA